rnacentral:rRNA from 1 species
AGUGAACGCUGGCGGCAGGCCUAACACAUGCAAGUCGAACGGCAGCACAUUAAUCGCUUGCCCUUACGGGUGGCGAGUGGCGGACGGGUGAGGAAUACAGCGGAACCUACUCUUUCGAGGGGGACAACGUAGGGAAACUUACGCUAACACCGCAUACGACCUACGGGUGAAAGGACUGGCUCUUCGUACCCUGCGCGAUUGGAUGAGCCGGGACCGGAUCAGCUAGUUGGCGGGGUACAGGCCCACUAAGGCGACGGUCAGUAGCUGGUCUGAGAGAAUGAUCAGCCACACUGGGACAGGAUCACGGUCCAGACUCCUACGGGGAGCAGCAGUAGAGAAUAAUGGGCGGUAGGAGCAGGCCAGAUCCAGCAAUGCGCGAUAGGUGAAGGGGGCCUUCGGGUUGGGAAGCCCUUUUGUUGGGAGAGAAAAACAGCAGGUUAAUGAGACGCAGUUCUGACGGUACCCAAAGAAUAAGCACCGGCUAACUUCGUG